GAUGAACGCUGGCGGCGUGCUUAACACAUGCAAGUCGAACGGUGAAGCAGGAGCUUGCUCUUGUGGAUCAGUGGCGAACGGGUGAGUAACACGUGAACAACCUGCCCCUGACUCUGGGAUAAGCGCUGGAAACGGCGUCUAAUACUGGAUAUGUUAUGUGACCGCAUGGUCUGCAUCUGGAAAGAAUUUCGGUUGGGGAUGGGCUCGCGGCCUAUCAGCUUGUUGGUGAGGUAAUGGCUCACCGAGGCGUCGACGGGUAGCCGGCCUGAGAGGGUGACCGGCCACACUGGGACUGAGACACGGCCCAGACUCCUACGGGAGGCAGCAGUGGGGAAUAUUGCACAAUGGGCGGAAGCCUGAUGCAGCAACGCCGCGUGAGGGAUGACGGCCUUCGGGUUGUAAACCUCUUUUAGCAGGGAAGAAGCGAAAGUGACGGUACCUGCAGAAAAAGCACCGGCUAACUACGUGCCAGCCGCCGCGGUAA
rnacentral:rRNA from 1 species